GAUGACCGUGGCUCAAAACUAAUUGUGGAUGCGUAGAAAAAAAGAAAUAGUUCCUUACAUUAAUUUCAUAACAUUUCUCAGUUGCAAUAGUUGCAAUAUACCAGCUUUACCUGCAUUUGGAAUAUACAUUUCCCAAUUCAUUCAAUAUUCAAGAUCUUGUAGCUGCUACUCAAACUUUUUAAAACGUCACCAGUGUCUUAGCAGAAAGUUGAUGAACCAGGG
rnacentral:lncRNA from 1 species